rnacentral:misc_RNA from 1 species
CAGAGUUGCAAAACUCCCACAAACCAUCGCGAAUCUUACCCGUACGGUUGCCUCGGCGCUGGCGGUCCGGAAGGCCCUCGGGCCCCCCGGAUCCUCGGGUCUCCCGCUCGCGGGAGGCUGCCCGCCGGAGUGCCGAACCAAACUCUUGAUAUUUUAUGUCUCUCUGAGUAAACUUUUAAAUAAGUCA